GUCCCUUCCAGGACAUCCGAUAAAAUUGAAACGAUACAAAGAAGAUUAGCAUGACCCAUGCGCAAGGAUGACACACACAAAUUGAGAAAUGGUCCGAAAGAGAAAUUU